rnacentral:lncRNA from 1 species
GGAACCUGCAUCCUCAUCAAUAUUAGUCGGAUUCUUAACCUGCUGAGCCACAACAGGAACUCCUCAACUGGAUUUUUAAAGCCCAUUUUCCCAUUGGCUUCCAGGCUGGACUGUGAAUCCAAUCUGAUGGCUCAGGGCAUCUCUCCUCCCCCUCCCUCCCCUCCUCACCUCUGCAGGGGACACACGGAUGAGCGGGGGCUACUGUAUUUGAUGACUCAGGAGCCGCCACGCCUAUUUUCCAACCCCGCCGAGUGAGGAAGAGCCAAACCGGGCCCAGGCAAGUAUUUUCGGUCUUUCCUCCAGCUAUUCUCAUCGCUAACAUUUUUGUAGUGGGUGGCUGGAGCGGGCGAUUUUCCUUUCUUUUGUGCAAACGAGACCAGAAUAAACAGCACAGGGUGAGUCACUUCAGACGCUUAGCGCUUCAAUUACUUAAAAACUCAAGGGCCUGAGGAGGCUUAGAAAGUCACCUUCUUCAGAGCAGCCCUGAGCUGAUGGGAAGCGCUCCAAAUUCUGAGUAGUCGCUGCCUUCCCCCCACGGGAAACCUGCUGCUCGCACGCCCAGCACCCGGAGGGAAGUGGCCCAGGCAAAGCCACCUGGACGAGGCGCCCCCUGGAGCAUGAUUUCAUCCCUCACUUCAUCUUCACGGUGACCUAUGAGGUCAUACACAGAAUGCCUAUGACGUCAUAAAGAAGAACCCCCAUGUACAUUUCCUGCCCCCAGAGGCAUCAAGCCCGCUCGCCACGGGGCUACAUCCAAGACUCCCUUGAAUCCUUGUCCCAAUCCUCUGACGUCGUUACUGCUCUCUCCCUCUCCAUCCAUGAGAAAACUGGAAGCUCGGGGCAGUGACGGGAACCCAAGUCUCUUGGUUUAUAAAACCCACUGGCUAAAAUCCCAGUGUUUCCCAAACUGUGUCCCGAGGAACCCUGGGAUCUCCUGAGAUGCUAACUGGCAGGGGGAAGAAAGGGGUCUGUGGUCCAAAGAGUUUGGGGAUUUUCAGUUGCACGCUCCUCUGUUAGAGUCAGCACACAGGUCAUUUCUGAAAGGCCCUGAGAGAUCGUGUGUUAAAAAAAAGUGUGGAUUCUGUGAGCUGUUUCUCUGACUUGAUUGAUCACGUAGCUGUCCAUGCAUGCACGCAUGCAUGCAUUCUCAGAAUGUUCAUCACCAUCUCAGGGGCCAUCCCCGGGCUUGGUAGACAAGGCUAAGGUCAUGCUACACUAAUUCUGGCUGGAUGACUCAAGGACAGUGCAAUUUUCCCUGUGUUCCCACUGGGGUCAGUUCUUAGAGGGAAAUGCCCAAUCGAGAAAAAUCAGGCUUAAGAAAUCACUGUCAUCAAAAAGGGAUGCCUUUUCUUGAAUGUCCAAUGAUGACCAGACCUGCUAAGGUCUUAUCUGGUAUGUUUAGUUAAAGAGGCCCCCUAGUUUAAGCCUAUAAUAGAAUCCUGAGCCUUCACUCCACCUUGGCCUCCCCAAGGGAUCUUCUAGCCUCUGUUUACAUACCUCCAAGAACGGAGAGCUCACUACCUCUCAAAGCAACCAGUUCUACACAGACAACGGCUGCUAGAAAGGCCUUCCUUCUACAGAUGCGAAAUCUGUUUCCCAUCAGUUCAUACCCAGUGGUUCCUCUCCCCUGUGCAAGCUCUAAAAUAAUGGUGAAGGCCAUUGUCGCUUCCCCUAGAUCUUCUGCUCUCCAGGCGAAACAUCUCCAUUCCCCCACUGACAUGGUUUCCAGCCCCCUGGGGAGAAGCAGACAAAUCUGAGGAAGGACCUGGGCCUUGGGGCUCUGGGGGUCCAAGUCCUGGAUCUACUCCCUAGUAGCUGCAGGACCUUGGCAAUUUAUUUAAUUUCUCCAAGUCUCUGUUUCUUUUUCCAGGGGAAAAAAAAAUCUAUUUACCCCAUAGAAUUUUUUGAAGAUUAAACGAGAUAAUGUCUGCAGAGCACCCAGCACAGUUCCUGGUACCGGUAGGUCAUCAGCCCGUGUUACUGGUCUCGCCUCUCCACUUCCUCCCCGCUUCUGGACCCUCUCCUCUGCCUGGACCCUUCCUCUGUGUGGUGUGGCCAGCUUGUUCCCAUCCCCAUCCUGAUGCUUAAAGGAUUCCAGGUGUAGUCACCCUCCUCGACGACACGCUGGCAUCCUUUCUCUCUUUCUAGAAACCAGUUCUUGUCGGGGUUCCGCUGUGACCCUGAAGGUGGUCUUGGCCAAGUCCCUUCCCCUCUCUGCUUCUGGGUUUCCACAUCUGAGGUCCAGCUCUGACAUUCUGGGGUGUUCAUGAGUGUUCUCAUACUGUUCUGUAUCACAGAAAAAGCCAGCCAAGGAAGGAUGGGACCUUCAGAAAAAAAAUGGCAAGACACCCUUUUCCCCAAACAAAAGAGACAGAAUCUUCAAGGCCCAGAAACGGGUAGCACUGUUCUUUUUUUUGCCCCUUCUGAAAGACUUCAGCAUUUGAGUUUAUUUUCAACGGAUCUUGAAAUAAUGAGAAAUCUGGUUGAGUAGAGUUUGGGUAAAGAUUUUAGGCGUCUAGGUUCUGCUCUGACUUGGCACUGAAAAAAAAAAACCCAAAGUUUUGUAAGAUGCUUAUUUUAAAGAGGGCCAAAUACAUUCACUUCUUUCAGAUUUGACUUUGUAAUACGGCCAUCGUGUGCAUUAUGAAGAGCCUACCCGGUUGAUUUUUUGAUUUGGCCCGUAGAUGGAAUUUAGUUUUUGAGAUCUGAAAGGCAGAUUCUGCACAGGAAGAUCAUAUUUUUUUUUCCCUGAGAGUUCAUCCUAAAGAUACUUAUUUAGAAUUUAGAUUUCAUUUCCGCAUGAAAGCCCGGUCAUAGAUGGCCGUCCCGUAGGCUAGCUGCACAAAUACUCAUUACCUAUUCACAUUUGUUAAUCAUGCAUACGUCUCCCUUAAAGAUGAUU